rnacentral:rRNA from 1 species
CAGUAGCCACGGUAAAACGAAGGGUGCAAGCGUUAGUCGGAAUUACUGGGCGUAAAGCGUGCGUAGGCGGUUUGUUAAGUCUGCUGUGAAAUCCCCGGGCUCAACCUGGGAAUGGCAGUGGAUACUGGCAAGCUAGAGUGUGUCAGAGGAUGGUGGAAUUCCCGGUGUAGCGGUGAAAUGCGUAGAGAUCGGGAGGAACAUCAGUGGCGAAGGCGGCCAUCUGGGACAACACUGACGCUGAGGCACGAAAGCGUGGGGAGCAAACAGGAUUAGAUACCCCUGUAGUCCCUGUCUCUUAUAC